rnacentral:rRNA from 1 species
GACGAACGCUGGCGGCGUGCUUAACACAUGCAAGUCGAACGGAAAGGCCCUGCUUUUGUGGGGUGCUCGAGUGGCGAACGGGUGAGUAACACGUGAGUAACCUGCCCCUGACUUUGGGAUAACUUCAGGAAACUGGGGCUAAUACCCGAUAGGAGCUCCUGCUGCAUGGUGGGGGUUGGAAAGUUUCGGCGGUUGGGGAUGGACUCGCGGCUUAUCAGCUUGUUGGUGGGGUAGUGGCUUACCAAGGCUUUGACGGGUAGCCGGCCUGAGAGGGUGACCGGCCACAUUGGGACUGAGAUACGGCCCAGACUCCUACGGGAGGCAGCAGUGGGGAAUAUUGCACAAUGGGCGGAAGCCUGAUGCAGCAACGCCGCGUGCGGGAUGACGGCCUUCGGGUUGUAAACCGCUUUCGCCUGUGACGAAGCGUGAGUGACGGUAAUGGGUAAAGAAGCACCGGCUAACUACGUG